UGCAGUCUGCAACUCGACUGCAUGAAGCUGGAAUCGCUAGUAAUCGCGGAUCAGAAUGCCGCGGUGAAUACGUUCCCGGGUCUUGUACACACCGCCCGUCACACCAUGGGAGUCGGAUAUGCCCGAAGUCAGUGACCCAACCGCAAGGAGGGAGCUGCCGAAGGUGGAGCCGAUGACUGGGGUGAAGUCGUAACAAGGUACC
rnacentral:rRNA from 1 species